UACAGAGGUCUCGAGCGUUGUUCGGAUUCAUUGGGCGUAAAGGGUGCGCAGGCGGCGUGGAAAGUUGAGUGUGAAAUCCCGGGGCUUAACCUCGGAACUGCACUCAAUACUCCCAUGCUAGAGGACUGUAGAGGAGAUCGGAAUUCACGGUGUAGCAGUGAAAUGCGUAGAUAUCGUGAGGAAGACCAGUUGCGAAGGCGGAUCUCUGGGCAGUUCCUGACGCUCAUGCACGAAGGCCAGGGGAGCAAACGGG
rnacentral:rRNA from 1 species